UACAGAGGGGGCAAGCGUUAUUCGGAAUUAUUGGGCGUAAAGGGCGCGUAGGCGGCUUGGCAAGUGGAAGGUGAAAUCCCUCGGCUUAACCGAGGAACUGCCCUCCAGACUGCUUGCUUGAGGCCGGGAGAGGUGAGUGGAAUUCCCAGUGUAGCGGUGAAAUGCGUAGAUAUUGGGAGGAACACCAGUGGCGAAGGCGGCUCACUGGACCGGUUCUGACGCUGAGGCGCGAAAGCGUGGGGAGCAACGGG
rnacentral:rRNA from 1 species